ensembl:snRNA U6 U6 spliceosomal RNA
GUGCUCGCUUAGGCAGCACAUAUACUAAAAUUAGAACUAUAGAGAGAUUAGCAUGGCCCCUGUGCAA